rnacentral:rRNA from 1 species
UGGUGGAGCGAUUUGUCUGGUUUAUUCCGAUAACGAACGAGACUCUGACCUACUAAUAGUGGGCGGAUUCUUCCUGUCCGCAACACUUCUUGGAGGGACAAGCGGUGUUCAGCCGCACGAGAUUGAGCAAUAACA